GAUGAACGCUGGCGGCGUGCCUAAUACAUGCAAGUCGAACGAGUUUUGGUCGAUGAACGGUGCUUGCACUGAGAUUCGACUUAAAACGAGUGGCGGACGGGUGAGUAACACGUGGGUAACCUGCCCUUAAGUGGGGGAUAACAUUUGGAAACAGAUGCUAAUACCGCAUAAAUCCCAAGAACCGCAUGGUUCUUGGGCUGAAAGAUGGCGCAAGCUAUCGCUUUUGGAUGGACCCGCGGCGUAUUAGCUAGUUGGUGAGGUAACGGCUCACCAAGGCGAUGAUACGUAGCCGAACUGAGAGGUUGAUCGGCCACAUUGGGACUGAGACACGGCCCAAACUCCUACGGGAGGCAGCAGUAGGGAAUCUUCCACAAUGGACGCAAGUCUGAUGGAGCAACGCCGCGUGAGUGAAGAAGGCUUUCGGGUCGUAAAACUCUGUUGUUGGAGAAGAAUGGUCGGCAGAGUAACUGUUGUCGGCGUGACGGUAUCCAACCAGAAAGCCACGGCUAACUACGUGCC
rnacentral:rRNA from 2 species